rnacentral:rRNA from 1 species
GAGUUUGAUCAUGGCUCAGAUUGAACGCUGGCGGCAUGCCUUACACAUGCAAGUCGAACGGCAGCAUGGGUGCUUGCACCUGAUGGCGAGUGGCGAACGGGUGAGUAAUGCAUCGGAACGUACCCGGAAGUGGGGGAUAACGUAGCGAAAGUUACGCUAAUACCGCAUAUUCUGUGAGCAGGAAAGCGGGGGAUCGCAAGACCUCGCGCUUCCGGAGCGGCCGAUGUCGGAUUAGCUAGUUGGCGGGGUAAAGGCCCACCAAGGCAACGAUCCGUAGCGGGUCUGAGAGGAUGAUCCGCCACACUGGGACUGAGACACGGCCCAGACUCCUACGGGAGGCAGCAGUGGGGAAUUUUGGACAAUGGGCGCAAGCCUGAUCCAGCCAUGCCGCGUGAGUGAAGAAGGCCUUCGGGUUGUAAAGCUCUUUCGGCUGGGAAGAAAUCGCAUCUCCUAAUACGGGGUGUGGAUGACGGUACCAGCAUAAGAAGCACCGGCUAACUACGUGCCAGCAGCCGCGGUAAU